AAGUGAGAUGGCCUUUGAGGCCACUGAGAGCUACAUAUUGGUAUAGGAGUUUGGGGUUACACUGGAGAGAAAGAAGGAUCUCUUCAAUGAUAAACAUCAGUGCCUGGGUUCAAUAAGGAUUUAUGGCUUGCUGUUUUGCAUUAGGAUUUGGAAACAGCAUCUUGGAUUGGCAUCAGUCAGUGGACCCUGGCUUUAGAACCACAGUUUCCCAGGCUUCUGUGGGCAGCAGGACCUGACCAAGUCCUCUUCCUCCCUGGAAGAGAAAGAAGCGAGAGAAACCCUGUAAUUCCUUCCAUGUGUCUCUUCCUACUUGCCUGGUCUAUGGGGUAUUCCCAGGCUGCAGUAAUUUGGAUAUUUUUCUCAUGACUUGCCCAUCUCCACAAAUCACCUAUAUAUUAUUUAUUUAGCAUUUGUUUUAAAACAACACUUUCUUAACUUCAAAUAUAAAUUUAUUUCAAAGAGAAAGUUAAUACCUUAAACAUCAAUGGAAAAACCAAUACUGCUUGUAAUAAAUAAAGCAAAAUAAUGUUAUUAGAUUCUAGAUCAAAAAAUUACCUGCCAAAGGUUCUGAGACAGAGUCCUACACCUCCUUGGUUUCAAAAGAGAGAGGUUAGCAAGUGAAAGGUGUUAUAAAGAUAUAUAGGAGAC